GAGCACACAUGAGAAGCGACUGUUGAAGGAAGCGUGGAGAGAGCAGCAUGGGCUCUAAACAGGUCACUACUGCCAUGCCAGUGCUUACACAGAUUUUUCCAUUACAGUAUUCAGUUUUUCUUGUGUCCAUGGGUGUGAGAGGGACAGGCAAAAAGGGAGUGAGGUGUGUCCUAGGAAAUUGCGGAUUUCGUUGUUUUCACAAUAAAAUGUCUGGAUAUGUCUUUUUGUUUGUUUGUUUUCUUUCUUUAUUUAAAAUUACUCAAAUGAAUUUAUCACAUCUGUAGUUGUGUAAUGAUCAUAACAAUCCAAUUUCACAGGAUUUCCAUCCCAUAAUCCGAGCACAUCCCCCCAGCCCCCAAACUGUCUCCUCCGGAGACCAUAAGUUUUUCGAUGUCUGUGACUCAGUAUCUGUUCUGCAAAGAAGUUCCGUCUGUCCUUUUUUCAGAUUCCACAUGUCAGUGAAAGCAUUUGAUGUUGGUGUCUCAUUGUAUGGCUGACUUCACUUAGCAUGAUAAUUUCUAGGUCCAUCCAUGUUGCUAAAAAUGCCAGUAUUUCAUUCCUUUGAAUGACUGAGUAAUAUUCCAUUGUGUAUAUGCACCACAUCUUCUGGAUCCACUCCUCUGUCAAUGGACAUUGAGGUUGUUUCCAUGUCUUAGUUAUUGCAAAUAGUGCUGCAAUGAACAUCGGAGUACAUGUGUCUUUGCGAGUCAUGGUUUUCUCUGGGUUUUCCACAGUUGUUGCACCAAUUUACAAUCCCACCAACAGAGUACUAGGAUUCCUUUUUCUCCACACCCUUUCCAGCACUUAUUAUUUGUAGACUUUUUGAUGAUGGCCAUUCUAGCUGGUAUAAAGUGGUACCUCAUUGUGGUUUUGAUUUGCAUUUCUCUAAUAAUGAGUGAUGUUGAACAUCUUUUUUUUGUGUUUUUUGGCCAUCUGUAUGUCUUCUUUGGAGAACUGUCUGUUUAGAUCUUCUGCCCAUUUUUUGAUGGAGUUGUUUGUUAUUUUGGUAUGGAGCUGCAGAAGGUGUUCGUAAAUUUUGGAGAUUAAUCCUUUGUCAUUUGAUUGACUUGCAAAGAUUUUUUUCCCAUUCUGUGGGUUGUCUUUUCGUUUUGUUUAGGGUUUCCUUUGCUGUGCAGAAACUUUUAAGUUUGAUUAGGUCCCAUUUGUUUAUUUUUGUAUUUGUUGUGGAUCUGAAAGGUGGAUCUGAGAAGAUGCUGCUGUCAUUUAUGUCAGAGAGUGUUUGGCCUAUGUUUUCCUCUAAGAGUUUUAUAGUGUCUGGUCUUAUAUCUAGGCCUUUAAUCCAUUUGGAGUUGAUUUUUGUGUAUGGUGUUAGGGAGUGUUCUCAUUUCAUUCUUUUCCAUGUGGCUGUCCAGUUUUCCCAGCACCACUUAUUGAACAAGCUGUCCUUUCUCCAUUGUAUAUUCCUGCCUCCUUUGUCAUAGAUUAGUUGGCUGUAGGUGUGUGGAUUUAAUUCUGGACUUUCCUGGGAACUCCUUAGUGGGAGGGGUUGAGUCUUACUCAUCUGUGUGUUCCCACAUCUAAUAUGUGUGAGUGGGAUGAACAAAUGAUUUCCCACACCUUGUAGCAGACACACUCACCACGGUCUAUCAGUGUGGCAUUGGUGUCACCAAGCUUGGGUGGCUGGGAGAGCCAGUGACUAGACAGAGAGAGACCACGUGGGCUAGAGAGAAUCUAGGGUGAAUUGAAAAACGAGUAGGGUGAAAUUCCUGAUCUUGAGAUGCUCGGCCGAGUAGGUUUCCGCUACGGUUUGGGAGCAAGAGUCAGGAAAGUGCCAUGCUGUGUGCUGAAUGUUGCAGCAGAGGCGCCACGCACAGACUGCUCUAGAAGAGUGUGAUCACUUAGCCUGGGGAGGCUGGGAAGUUCAACAUGUAGUUGCUCCCCAUGUGGAGAAGAGGGAGGAGCAUCUACCGGCCAUAGAGAUCUGAGGAUCGUUCUUUAAGGAGUUGAGAAGGAGCUUGAGGUUCAUGGGACUUGGGGAGUGGGCGGGUGGUGGAAAUGAGAUUAGAAGCAACUGUGUGUCUAAUCCUUGUAGCUGAUCUUUGCCUUGUUGGGGAACCACUGGAGAUUUUAAAAUCAGAGGAAUGACACAGAUUCACAUUUUAUUUAUUUAUUUAUUUAUUGCCAUUUCUUGGGUGGCUCCCUCAGCAUAUGGAGGUUCCCAGGCUAGGGGUCUAAUCAGAGCUGUAGCUGCCAGCCUAUGCCAGAGCCACAACCCUCGGGAUCCAAGCCGCAUCUGCAACCUACACCACAGCUCAUGGCAACGCUGGAUCGUUAACCCACUGAGCAAGGGCAGGGACAGAACCCGCAACCUCAUGGUUCCUAGUCGGAUUUGUUAACCACUGUGCCACGACGAGAACUCCCAGAUUCACAUUUUAGAAAAUUGCUCUGGCAGCAGUGUGAAAAUCAGACCAGAAGGGAAAUAACUAAAUUAAACAGGCUAGUUAGGAGACUAGUGCAGCCAUCCUGAUGAGCGAGAUGACAUGCCUUGAUUAAGGCACUAACAGUGGAAAUGUGGGGAAGAUGUUACGGAGUAUGCUGUGGGGAGGUAGAAUUUGUGAGACUUAGUGACUGGAGCUCCAUAUGGAAGUUGUGAGAGAGAUGGAGGAAUAGCAGAUGGUUGCAGAUUUCUUAAUCCUCUAGCCAUUGGAUGAGAGAGUAGAAAGGAAGCUUGGGUUUGGUUCUGGACAUCUGAGAAGGGGACAUCCACAUGGCAACAACUAGCAGACCAUUGGAAAUGUGGUUCUGAAGUUUAGGAGAGAAAGAUCUUGGGGUGUGAGUCACAUGUGUAUGAAAGGGCGAGAUCAUAAAAUGGGAGCUAGCUGAACAGGACGAGGGCAGGCCAAGCAGAGGACUGCAGGACAUGCCAGCAUUUAAAGGACAUGCUCAGGGAAAGCCCAUCUAAGAACAGAUUCAAAGAGGGAAGUAGUCGGUAUCAGAUGCCACCAAGAGGUCAAGCUGGUCUGAGAUGUAAAAUGAGGCCAUUGGAUUUGAUCUAAUCAGAAGCUCUUAAAU
rnacentral:lncRNA from 1 species